ACUCCAGUCUCAGGAGUUCAAAAACAGAAAGACUUAGUUUUGGAAAAAGUCUGUGGGAAACAUUGGACACUUAUUUUAUAUCCCCCGUCAAAAUGAUGUUUGAUGGAAAAUAGAGGGAACUUUGACAUCUUGCAUGAUUAUUUUUAGUGUUACUCAUGUAUAUUUCUAGCUCAGUUUGGGGGGUUUUCCAUUAAGUUUUGGUGGUAUUUUUAUCAAAUGACUUUUGUCUGCUUUUUAUAUGAAGUAAUUUAUUCAAGCUCAUAAUUAGAAUCUUUACAGACUUGGACUGUAAAAAGUGAAGUGAGCUCAUUAAAUGUAGUUUUGUUUCUAACAUAACUUUCACUUUUCAUUAGGGCAUAACACAGUUAAGCUACACCAAAAUAUAUAAUGGUUGACAGUCAGUCAAAGUAUCUUAUCUGAAAUAAUUUUUUUUUCAUAAAAGAAAUAAUUUCUAUUUUUCAAUAAUUUUGUACAAAUUUUAAGAAAAAAUAAUUUAUUAUAGUAAUACAUUAAAUGAAAACAAUAAACAGUUUUUGUUCAGAAUAUAUAAUUAUACAUGUAUGUUACUAGCCCUAAGAAAUCCUUUUUCUGAAAUAUCUACUGUAGUGAGUGAUUGAUGAACAAUACCUGGUAAAUUUCUCAUACUUUAAGUUAUUUCUUUUCUCAAUAAACUUUGAACAUCCUG
rnacentral:misc_RNA from 1 species